GUGCUUACUUCAGCAGCAGAUAUACUAAAAUUGGAACAAUUCAGAGAAGAUUAGCAUGGGUCUUGUUUAUCUAGAAAUAAUACAAGUCUCC
rnacentral:snRNA from 1 species